CCAGCCUUUCCAAGCGCUCAAUCACUAAUGAGGAUCUGAUCUACAACCUGAAGGCUAGCUGUCUGACAAAGGAGCAGAGAAAACAAGAGCUGGGAUUACAGCACCAUGUCCCUCAGGAGGCUAAUGCUUUUGCAUGUGACAAUUUAUGCUUCGGGAAAUAAAACAAGUGUUUGGAGGAUUGGGCUGCCUCUGAGAACAAGAAUUCUGAUGGUGAGGA